rnacentral:lncRNA from 1 species
GUAGUACUGAUGGGGCUUUUAUUGGCUUGCUUGGAUUCUUUGGCCCUCUGUAAUCCAUUUCAGAAUGAAAAUUUUGUCCCGAAGUAGAAGGUUUUUUCAUCUUCUUUCCUGACACUGUGCUCCAGCUUUCUGGGGGAGGUGGUUUGAGGGUCUUCACGGCAUGUUUUUUUCCCAAUUCUUCAACCAAAACUGGUCCAUUCUCAGAGUGAACUCCUUGAAUAUCUGCAUUAGGAAAUUUUCCAUUGUGAUCCAACCUAACUUGGCAUUUCUCUCCAACUUCAUAUUGUAAACCAGCAGCAAUGGAAUAAUCACGCUUUUGUUGAGCUUGUUUAGACUUCAGCCAAAUUUCAUAUUCCACAUUUCUGUAGACUGCUGGAUUGAGUGACUUAAGAACCUUUCUAGACAAGGGAAAGCUAGUAGAAUUCCCAUUGUUCUUCAAGUGCUCAUCGCCUGACAAAGGUUUAAAUCCAUUCACAUCAUUAGCAGUUUUCCUCUUGCAACUAUCAUCCUCUGAAUCUGAUAUUUCACUGUUGUUUCCAUCAGCUACUUCAGAAGUGUCUAGUCCCAUCACGAUUUUACUGACAUCAGCUUUAAAUACCUUCUCAUAGAGCAAUUCAUAAAGAAGAGACUGACACAUAGCAGAACUAUCUUUAUACUUUAUGGGGUAAACAAUAUCAUAGUGAUUUCCAUUUGAAAAACAUAGUAAUACCUUUUCAGGAAAAUUAUUUUCAGUUACUUGUGCCGGAGAAACAUUCGGUUCCCGAUAAAUUAUAAAAUCUUUCCUGUACAUAAGAGAAAGGGCACUUAUUUCCACUUGUCCUACCCACUCCUGUGGAUUUUGCAAACGCUUUAAAUACUCUUCAAAUGAUCCUUCUAUGAACGCUUCAAAUUUCUCUCUGUUUUCUCGAAGAUAGUGAAUACAGGCCAUUCUAACUUCAACAUGACGAGACUGAGAGUGCAACACCUGCUCCGCCACGGCCCGGAACAGGCACGACCCGUCCUUGGCGACCAGUUUGCGAUACAAACCGUUUCCGCAGGUAGGCGUCCAUGGGCGUCGCGUCCUCGCGGGCUAGCCCCACAUGGCCGCGCCGCCGGCAGCUCGACGCCCCGGCCUGGCUCCGGCUCCGGCUCCGGCUCCGCGAGCGGCAGCAGGCGGCGGCCGAGGCAGCGGUCCGCGCUCCCCAGACGCAUAGGGCGAGCCCUGCCUAGUGCAUGGCCGGCCGCACGCGACCGCCUCCCCGGAGGGAGCACGCGCCCAGAGAGGAGACGGCGUGGGGCGGCAGGGAGGGAAGAAAAUCCCGAGGGACGAGAGUCGCGUCCCGGGGGCCUCGCCGCCCAGUCAGGAACCGGGCCGGGGAUCGCCGCCCGCACGAGUUUCCUGGUCCCCACCGGCGUGGAGCGAGGAAGCCCCCGCCCCCGGCGCGCUCGCGGGGCCCGCUCAGGUGAGCCUGCCCGCCUACCCCGCGCGCUCCCCUCGCCGGGCGCUGAGGAAACCAGAAGAAAAGAGCCGCGGCCUCGCGUCUCCCCACCUCGCCGGAGGGCGCCUGAGGGGCCAGUGCUGUAUUUUUAUCUUCGUUCAUUUCCAGAAAUUUUUUGA